UACGUAGGGGGCAAGCGUUGUCCGGAUUUAUUGGGCGUAAAGAGCGUGUAGGCGGCUUUACAGGUCCGUUGUGAAAACUCGAGGCUCAACCUCGAGACGCCGGUGGAAACCGUAAGGCUAGAGUCCGGAAGAGGAGAGUGGAAUUCCUGGUGUAGCGGUGAAAUGCGCAGAUAUCAGGAAGAACACCCGUGGCGAAGGCGGCUCUCUGGGACGGUACUGACGCUGAGACGCGAAAAGCGUGGGGAGCAAACAGG
rnacentral:rRNA from 1 species